rnacentral:lncRNA from 1 species
CAUGCUGUGAUGGAUCUAGACUUGGGCAUCUACAUCAAAUACUGACUGGAUGGCUCACUAUUUGACCUUCACCGCCUGACUGCAAAAACAGACAACAGAGAGACUCAUCCUGGAAGCUCUCUUCGCAGAUGACUGUGCUCUCAUGGCCCACCAAGAAAAUCAUCUCCAAACCAUUGUGGACAGGUUCUCCACCACAACAAAACUGUUUGGCCUGACUAUCAGCCUCAGCAAAACAGAGGUGCUGUUCCAACCUGCACCAGGGAGGCCAACUAACCAGCCGUGUAUUACAAUCGACAGCACGCAACUUUCUAACGUCAGCACUUUCAAGUACCUGGGCAGCACCAUCGCCAACGACGGGUCCCUAGACCACGAGAUCAAUGCCAGGAUCCAAAAGGCCAGCCAGGCACUCGGGCGGCUGCACUGCAAAGUCCUCCAACACAGCGGUGUAAGCACUGCGAUGAAGCUCAAAGCGUACAACGCAGUGGUCCUCAGCUCGCUCCUGUACGGUUGUGAGACAUGGACACUGUACCGGAAGCACAUGAGACAGCUGGAGCAAUUCCACCAACGCUCCCUCUGGUCAAUCAUGAGGAUCCGAUGGCAGGACCGAAUCACCAACCAGGAAGUCCUCAAUGGAGCCAACUCCACCAGCAUCGAAGUCAUGGUCCUCAAAGCCCAGCUACGAUGGUCUGGACACGUCAUCCGCAUGGACCCACAGCGAAUACCAAGACAGGCAUUCUAUGGUGAACUGUCAGCUGGACUCAGGAAACAAUGCCGACCAAAGAAAAGAUUCAAGGAUCAGCUAAAGUCCAACUUGAAGUGGGCUGACAUUACACCAAAGCAACUAGAACUCGCUGCCUCUGACAGAAGCAGCUGGCGAACCCGCAUUCACCAUGCCGCCACCCCCUUUGAAGAUGAGCGACGUCGACGUCUUGCUGCACGUGAACGCCGACACCAGGCCACACCCGCACCUCCCGUAACAGCUGGCAUCCCAUGCCCCAAGUGCCACAAACUGUGCGCCUCAGCCUUUGGACUCCAAAGCCACAUGUGGGUACACCGCAGAUGAAACUGCAC